UGAGGAAUAUUGGUCAAUGGGCGAGAGCCUGAACCAGCCAAGUCGCGUGAAGGAAGAAGGAUCUAUGGUUCGUAAACUUCUUUUGCAGGGGAAUAAAGUGCAGGACGUGUCCUGUUUUGUAUGUACCCUGAGAAUAAGGAUCGGCUAACUCCGUGCCAGCAGCCGCGGUAAUACGGAGGAUCCGAGCGUUAUCCGGAUUUAUUGGGUUUAAAGGGUGCGUAGGCGGCCUAUCAAGUCGGUGGUGAAAUUUCGUGGCUCAACCACGUCACUGCCAUCGAAACUGAUAAGCUUGAGUGCGUUGGGGGUAGCUGGAAUGUGCGGUGUAGCGGUGAAAUGCAUAGAUAUCGCACAGAACGCCGAUCGCGAAGGCAGGUUACCACGCCGCAACUGACGCUGAGGCACGAAAGCGCGGGGAUCGAACAGG
rnacentral:rRNA from 1 species